rnacentral:rRNA from 1 species
UAACACGUAUCCAACCUGCCGUCUACUCUUGGACAGCCUUCUGAAAGGAAGAUUAAUACAAGAUGGCAUCAUGAGUCCGCAUGUUCACAUGAUUAAAGGUAUUCCGGUAGACGAUGGGGAUGCGUUCCAUUAGAUAGUAGGCGGGGUAACGGCCCACCUAGUCUUCGAUGGAUAGGGGUUCUGAGAGGAAGGUCCCCCACAUUGGAACUGAGACACGGUCCAAACUCCUACGGGAGGCAGCAGUGAGGAAUAUUGGUCAAUGGGCGCAGGCCUGAACCAGCCAAGUAGCACGAAGGAUGACUGCCCUAUGGGUUGUAAACUUCUUUUAUAAAGGAAUAAAGUCGGGUAUGUAUACCCGUUUGCAUGUACUUUAUGAAUAAGGAUCGGCUAACUCCGUGCCAGCAGCCGCGGUAAUACGGAGGAUCCGAGCGUUAUCCGGAUUUAUUGGGUUUAAAGGGAGCGUAGAUGGCUGUUCAAGUCAGUUGUGAAAGUUUGCGGCUCAACCGUAAAAUUGCAGUUGAUACUGGAUAUCUUGAGUGCAGUUGAGGCAGGCGGAAUUCGUGGUGUAGCGGUGAAAUGCUUAGAUAUCACGAAGAACUCCGAUUGCGAAGGCAGCCUGCUAAGCUGCAACUGACAUUGAGGCUCGAAAGUGUGGGUAUCAAACAGGAUUAGAUACCCUGGUAGUCCACACGGUAAACGAUGAAUACUCGCUGU